rnacentral:lncRNA from 1 species
UUAAGAGACAAAAACCCUUGGCAUUUAAACGGGCACUUUUUUCUCAGGGUGGUGCUGCCCGUACUGGUUCCCAUCAUCUCUCUUCUUAUUAUACCCUUCCCCUCUUCCGCGGGUAGAGAGGAAUUCAGCUCUUCUGGAGCGUGAAAGUCAUUCACGUUUCUCCCGUGCACAAUAGAGCUCGUAAACCGCAGGGCUUCUGAUGCGCUUCAGUGCUCAGAGCAGACACAGAUGCACGGCUGGGGAGAGCUGGAGCCCUCGCGGGUCAGUAGUACAGGAGCAGCUCACACGUGCGGAGUGUUCCUGUGAGGAGCGUCACCAUGGGGUCCACUGCUACAGAAAUCGAAGACCUGGAAAACACCCCUUAUAAGUUUCUCAUAGGAGAACAGACUGAAAAAAUGUGGCAGCGCCUGAAAGGAAUGGAAAAAAAGAUGAGAUUCUCAGAAUGGUUACCUAAACAUAUCACCAGAGAAGGAUCUCGAUGCUUAUAAAACUUACUCCAUGGGCUUUGUGGUAGCAGAUCAGUUGCCCCACAAAUGUCCAUGUCCUAAUCUCCACACUUAUGAAUAUGUUAUCUUAUGUUGAAAAGGAGAAUUAAGGCAGCAGAUGGAGGUCAGGUUGCUAAUGAGCAGACUUCAAAACAGGGAGAGUACUGUGUCUGGAUUACCCAAGUGAGCCUUGUGUAUCCUAGAGUGGAAGAGCGAGGCCAGAGUGGUGCAGUGUGAAAGGGACUUGACUCAUCUCCACCAGCAUUGAAGACGGAGAAAAUGAACCAUGACCCAGGAACAUAAGCAACUUCUAGAAAAGGCAAGAAAACAGAUUUUUUCCUCCAGAGUCUGCAGAAAUGAUGUAGUCCUACUGACAUCUUGAUUUUAGCUACUGAAACUUGCAUCCUGUUUCUGACCUCUGGAACUGAUAAUUGGUGGUUCUUUUCAGGCUACGAGGUUUGUGGUAAAUUCAUUAUAACAACAAUAAGAAACUAAAACAUGUCUCCUUUACCAAAAUAAAACAGUGCUUAAUCAUUAUGACCAUUCCCGUCCUCAUCUGUAACACUUACACGUAAACACCCACAAUCCCUAACAGUAGAGACCAACCUAGGUCGCUCUACGACGCACUGGAGUUAGUCUUUCUUCUUAGCCACUGAAAAAUUUCUGUUCCUCCAUCUAACCUUGGCUUACAUUCCCGAACCACCGUUUCCUUACUGCCCUCUGAUGUUGA